rnacentral:rRNA from 1 species
CGCCCGUCGCUCCUACCGAUUGGAUGUGCUGGUGAAGUGUUCGGAUUGGCGCCUGGGGGCGGUUUCGCCACCUGGUGCUGAGAAGUUCAUUAAACCCUCCCAUCUAGAGGAAGGAGAAGUCGUAACAAGGUUUCC